rnacentral:rRNA from 1 species
UACAGAGGUGGCAAGCGUUGUUCGGAAUUACUGGGCGUAAAGGGCGCGUAGGCGGUCUUGUAAGUCCCGUGUGAAAUCCCUCGGCUCAACUGAGGAAUGGCACGGGAAACUGCGAGGCUUGAGUUCGGGAGAGGGAAGCGGAAUUCCGGGUGUAGCGGUGAAAUGCGUAGAUAUCCGGAGGAACACCGGUGGCGAAGGCGGCUUCCUGGACCGACACUGACGCUAAGGCGCGAAAGCUAGGGGAGCAAACGGG